rnacentral:rRNA from 1 species
UACGGGGGGGGCAAGCGUUGUUCGGAAUCACUGGGCGUAAAGAGCUCGUAGGCGGUUCCGUAAGUCAGAUGUGAAAACUCAGGGCUCAACCCGGAGACGCCAUCUGAUACUGCGGUGACUGGAGUCUGGUAGGGGAACACGGAAUUCCUGGUGUAGCGGUGAAAUGCGCAGAUAUCAGGAGGAACACCGAUGGCGAAGGCAGUGUUCUGGGCCAGUACUGACGCUGAGGAGCGAAAGCGUGGGGAGCAAACAGG